rnacentral:sRNA from 1 species
GGAAUGGAAAAGCCUAAAGCAAAAGCAACAAAUAUAGAAUAUUGAAUGCUAUUGAGAUACCGGCGACAUCCCAGGUAAAUCAAAAUGGAGACACAACGAGAAACAGGGACUUGGACCCCAGACACCUGUUAUUUGGCAAUACCUCACAGGAUGAAAGGAUUGGGGGGAGUAAACACCAGGGCGCUGCCGACAUAGAAGCACAAGCACCAGUUCCAUCCUGCCUGUGUGUGUGGAGAAGCUCACACAAGUUGGGACCCUUUUUCAAGAAGGUUUACCAGUCACUAUAUUACAUUUUCACUGUCAACUCUAUUCUUCAAGACUUUAACUUCUUACUCUUGAAGACUUUGAGAAGAAAAAAGAAGCAAGCUCUCUGAAGACAUUCAGGCAUCUUUUCCUUCAACAAGUAAGGGAAAAUGAAACUUUUAACAAAUUAAUAACCUUUACUAAAAAUCACUAAAGGUAAAGAAGAACAAAAACAAACAAACAAACAAAACUACCUGAUCCAGUUGAGAGAAGUAGGAAAAAAAGCCAAGAGUGCACACAAAUGCACCAAGUGUAACUUCCACAGGCUUCAUUGAAUUAAUAGUUUGUUCAUGAAACAUUAUGUGCUGAUCCAAAUAUUAGAUUAAGAAACUGUUGAGUGAAUAAAGAAAUUGCUAUAUGGUUCUUCUUUGGUAUUGGAUAUAUAGAAAUCACAAACUCCCCUUUUUCAGAAGGUGUUCUGGGGUGGGAUUUACCUAAGUAGUAAAACCCAUGGUUGGCAUGCAUAAGACAAGAGACUCCAUCCCCAGAACUGAAAUAAAAAGAAACAGAACAGAAAGUGAAAUAAAUAAUAACUCAAGAGAUCAUAUUCUACUUUGUAACAAGGAGUGAGCAAACUUUACUACUUUGUCCACCAGACAUAUUUAAUAAACAAUAAGGAAGGUACAGGUCUAAACCCGAAAUCACUAAGGGCAAGGAACAGAAGCAAUUAGAAGGUAAAGGAUUUCAAUAAGUCUGGUGACCCUUGAAUUGUAGCACAAGACAUGAGAACCUGGAAGAGGGAUACAGACAAGAAGGGCAGACCUGCCUGCAUACCUGAGGGAGAGGUGAGGCACUUGUGAGGAAUGAGCUGGUGGGGCUGUGGGGAAUUGUUGACAGGUCAACAGAUAGUAGUUUUCUCUCACUUUCCUUGUAGGCCAGCCUGAAGCAAACACCAGCUUCAAGACAAUCAGGAAGUAGCUAACUUGGACAGAUACCAUAGGUAUUUUACUUCAGCGUGCUGGCAUUGCCCCAUUUCCGUGCAAACAUCUUGCACUGAGCGUUUCAAGCCUACAAUAUAUAAGACUCAGUGGCUUAAACGAACGGGCAAAGUGACCUUUCACAUUGGCUUGUCUUCAGACAUCUAAUAUGCAUAAAUAAAAGAGGACAAAGCUGGAUACUGCAGAGCAAGACAAUCCAGAGGAACAACAAAAACAACACAACAACACAACAACAACACAACAACAACAACA